GGAAACACACGAACAUAAAAACUUACAGGAUGAAGAAAUAAAAGGAUGAAUAGUAUUUACAUAGGUGGGAGAUAGCUUGCAGGAGCUUGCUUCUCUCCGACUACAGGACUCUGAAAGUAUACUUAUGUAUAGGACUCUUGAACACACAUAAGGAUGGGACUGUACAAGGACUCAAGGGUAGGAUAUAUAUAAGGGUACAAGACAGGAAGAAAAAGAAGAACUAUUUAGUGGAACACUCCUUCACUGACUUGUAACUUCUAUCUGGCAUAUGAUCUUCAAUAAGCUUUUCAGGAAAGCCAAUGGCUCUUAG
rnacentral:lncRNA from 1 species